GCCGGGAGUGCGGCUAAUACAAUACGGGUUCGCCCGAAAUACGCCCGCCGUCUGAUUGCGGUCUCAAGCUCCUGGCACCAUCUU
rnacentral:ncRNA from 1 species